GGCUUCGUGGUCGAACAACUCCCCUCCUUCUUCCUCGGCGGCGGCGGCGGCGGCGGCUAAUGCCGUUGACACCGCUGCCGCUGCCGCAGUGCCUACCGCCUCUGAUGCGGUAGCGCUGGAAGGUUGCGUUGGUAAUGAGAGUUUGAAGGUAGAGGAGAAGGGUUUAGUUGAUUCCAGAACCUCUGUCUUUGAUUCCGAUGGGAGUGUUGCAAUCCACGCUGGCGAAAGAUUUGGUCGUGGUAGAGCUGACGACGCUAUUACUACGCCGGUGGUUAAUACUUCCGCUUAUUUCUUUAAGAAAACUGCUGAUCUCAUUGAUUUCAAGGAGAAGCGCGCUGUGAGUUUCGAGUAUGGGCGCUAUGGAAAUCCAACGACAAUUGUUGCGGAGGAGAAGAUAAGUGCUUUAGAAGGGGCUGAAUCUACCCUGAUUGUGGCCUCAGGGAUGUGUGCUAGCACGAUGAUGUUGCUGGCGUUGGUUCCAGCUGGAGGGCAUAUCGUGACGACCACAGAUUGCUACAGGAAGACGAGAAUUUUUAUCGAGACCAUGCUUCCCAAAAUGGGAAUCACGGCUACCACCAUUGAUCCUGCAGAUAUGAACGCCCUUGAAGUAGCUCUGAAAGGGAACAAUGUUUCUCUUUUCUUCACUGAAUCCCCAACAAAUCCAUUUCUGAGAUGCGUUGAUAUUAAACUUGUUUCAGAGAUGUGUCAUCGACAUGGAGCACUGGUGUGUAUUGAUGGUACAUUUGCCACACCAUUGAACCAGAAGGCACUUUCACUUGGGGCGGACCUUGUUCUUCACUCCGCAACCAAAUAUAUUGGGGGCCACAACGAUGUCCUUGCUGGUUGUGUGAGUGGUUCUCUGAAACUGGUUUCUGAGAUUCGGAAUCUUCAUCAUGUGAUAGGUGGUGCCUUAAAUCCGAAUGCUGCUUACUUAAUUAUACGAGGCAUGAAGACGUUGCAUCUUCGUGUUCAGCAGCAGAAUUCCUCAGGUCUGAAGAUGGCAAAGCUUUUAGAGGCUCAUCCUAAGAUCAAAUGUGUUUACUACCCUGGACUGCCAAGUCAUCCUGAACAUAAUCUUGCCAAAAGGCAGAUGACUGGUUUCGGGGGCGUAGUUAGUUUUGAGGUUGAUGGCGAUAUAACGGCUACUGCAAAAUUCAUUGACUCAUUAAAAAUUCCGUACAUUGCUCCAUCAUUUGGUGGGUGUGAAAGUAUCAUAGACCAGCCAGCAAUAAUGUCAUACUGGGAUCUUAACCAAACAGAGAGGCUUAAGUAUGGGAUAAAAGACAAUUUGGUGCGUUUCAGCAUUGGAAUUGAAGACUUUGAGGAUUUGAAGGCUGAUAUUCUGCAGGCCCUUGAUGUCAUUUAAAGCUGAACACAGAUAAUUAUGCCCUCUCUCUUUCUUUAUUUAGAUAUCAUCUUGCUUUGGUCUUGAGUGUUGGUGUAUCAAUUGAAUUUUGAUUUGCCAAUUCUCAUUGUAUUGUUAAUGAUGUCGAUUCGAUUGAAAUGGAACCUUCUUCAUUUGUAUGGUAACCACCCUUAUUAUUAUCCCCUUCCCCUCAGGAACAGAAAAUGAUCCCUAGACAUUGUUGUUGUUAUUUUCCAUAACAAAUUCAUCGAG
rnacentral:misc_RNA from 1 species